GAUACUCACUCACAGAGAGCUCGCUUCAGAGCGCCCCUUCCCUGGUAAUAUCUUCUCAGCUGUUUGUAAAACACCCAGGGAGGAGGUGAAGCCCUAAGCCAGGCAGCCUAGCUGUCUCUUUAAAUGCCGGGGUCUGUGUGGGAGAGGGAGGGGCCAACUCUGGAGUGCGUGAAAUUCCUGGGCUCCUCUGGCAGUCUCUGGCUCAGAGCGCAGCCCUACACAUCUCCUCUUGCAUGCAACUCACUGAGCGAGGGAGAGGCAAAGCAUCCUCCCCUCACGCAGCCACCGGCAGCUCCAGACACACAGGACCUGCUUUUCGCACCUCCAGCAUUUUCCCUUCUUCCCUGCCACUCCCUCCCAGAGAGAGAAAAAAAGAGAAAGAAAAAGGAAAAGGAGUCAGAAAGACUCUGGGAUUUGAAUCUUUCGAAGGAGGAAACACCCAGCAAACUCAGUUGAUUAAACACCAAACUGACAGAUUCCCAACUCUUCGGUUCAACCCAGAGGUCUUUUCUCUGGAGUCCUGGGAGCUCUGUUAUGGGCAGCACUGCCUCUGGCCAGCACCAUGAAGUCUGAAUCUGCUUCCGCUCUGCUCUGGGCCUCACUCCACCUGAGUCCUCAGUUGUUUGCGGUUCCCCUUCCCAGGGUCUGCUGCUAGACCGUCAAACCUCAGCACUGGGCCUUGGCUUGGGCCUGCCUUUUGCCUGGCUCACCUCCCGAUUACUCCUCCUCCAUUACAGCACCCUGAGCCCCAGCCCUGUCCUUGGUCUUCCUGGCUAGGACGCAUUUGCCGGGAGGAAGACAUUACGGAAGGCUUAUUCCCACCCUGGGCUCCUUCUCCUCCUUGAAUCAAGGCCUCCGGAUCCACAUGGAUAGCUGAGAUCUUUUCUUGGAGAAAGAUACUUCUUCCUCGCCUCAUCCCUGAUUUGCCUCACCCGACAAAUCCCCUGUCUGUUUCGUCUCCCUCUUUAUGGGAUUUCUUGCUUGUGUGCCUAUCUAGGGCCGUGUUGUCCUUUUUCCUCUCCUUCCCCUUUCCUCCUAACAUUCCUGUGUGUGUUCUUCUUGUGUCUUCUCUUGUACCACUCUGUUUUCCCUCUUUGCCCUCACAAUCACCUAUCCCCUGCCUCCCGCUCCCACGGCUGAUACCUGGCCUACCUGCUCCUCUGUGCUCUGACCCAGCAGGCACCAUGAGCUUUACCCUCCACUCAGUUUUCUUCACCUUGAAGGUGAGCAUCUUUCUGGGCUCCCUGGUGGGGCUUUGCCUGGGUCUGGAGUUCAUGGGCCUUCCUAACCAGUGGGCCCGCUACCUGCGUUGGGAUGCAAGCACGCGCAGUGACCUGAGCUUCCAGUUCAAGACCAAUGUUUCCACUGGGCUGCUCCUGUAUUUGGAUGAUGGUGGUGUCUGUGACUUCCUCUGUCUCUCCCUGGUGGAUGGCCGCGUUCAGCUCCGCUUUAGCAUGGACUGUGCCGAGACCACUGUGCUAUCCAACAAGCAGGUGAACGACAGCAGUUGGCACUUCCUCAUGGUGAGCCGUGAUCGUGUGCGCACUGGGCUGGUGAUUGAUGGUGAGGGCCAGUCUGGAGAGCUACGGCCCCAGCGGCCUUAUAUGGAUGUGGUCAGUGAUUUGUUCCUCGGUGGCGUCCCCGCUGACAUUCGACCUUCUGCCCUGACCCUCGAUGGAGUACAGAGCAUGCCUGGCUUUAAGGGAUUAAUGCUGGAUCUCAAGUAUGGCAACUCGGAACCUCGGCUUCUGGGGAGCCAGAGCGUCCAGUUAGAAGCAGAGGGACCCUGUGGCGAGCGUCCCUGUGAAAAUGGUGGGAUCUGCUUCCUCUUGGAUGGUCAUCCCACCUGUGACUGUUCUACCACUGGCUAUGGUGGCACACUCUGCUCAGAAGAUGUCAGUCAAGGUCCAGGCCUCUCCCAUCUUAUGAUGAGUGAACAAGCACGAGAGGAGAACGUGGCCACCUUCCGAGGCUCAGAGUAUCUGUGCUAUGACCUGUCCCAGAACCCCAUCCAGAGCAGCAGCGACGAAAUCACCCUUUCCUUUAAGACCUGGCAACGCAAUGGGCUCAUCCUCCACACUGGCAAGUCGGCCGACUAUGUUAACCUGGCUCUGAAGGAUGGUGCGGUCUCCUUGGUCAUUAACCUGGGGUCCGGGGCCUUUGAGGCCAUUGUGGAGCCAGUGAAUGGGAAAUUCAACGACAACGCCUGGCAUGAUGUCAAAGUGACACGCAAUCUUCGGCAGGUGACAAUCUCUGUGGAUGGCAUCCUAACCACAACGGGCUACACUCAAGAGGACUACACCAUGCUGGGCUCAGAUGACUUCUUCUAUGUUGGUGGAAGCCCAAGUACCGCAGACUUGCCAGGUUCACCUGUGAGCAACAACUUCAUGGGCUGCCUUAAAGAGGUUGUUUAUAAGAAUAAUGACAUCCGUCUAGAGCUGUCUCGCUUGGCCCGGAUUGGAGACACCAAGAUGAAAAUCUAUGGUGAAGUUGUGUUCAAGUGUGAGAACGUGGCCACACUGGAUCCCAUCAACUUUGAGACCCCAGAGGCUUACAUCAGCUUGCCCAAGUGGAACACCAAACGUAUGGGCUCCAUUUCCUUUGACUUUCGCACCACUGAGCCCAACGGCCUGAUUCUCUUCACUCACGGGAAGCCUCAAGAAAGGAAAGAUGUCCGGAGCCAAAAGAACACAAAAGUUGACUUCUUUGCUGUGGAACUUCUUGAUGGCAACCUGUAUUUGCUGCUUGACAUGGGCUCUGGCACCAUCAAAGUGAAGGCCACUCAGAAGAAGGCCAAUGAUGGGGAAUGGUACCACGUGGAUAUUCAGCGUGAUGGCAGAUCAGGUACCAUAUCUGUGAACAGCAGGCGCACGCCAUUCACCGCCAGUGGGGAGAGUGAAAUUCUCGACCUGGAGGGGGACAUGUAUCUGGGCGGGCUGCCAGAGAACCGAGCUGGCCUCAUCCUCCCCACGGAGCUCUGGACCGCCAUGCUCAACUACGGUUACGUGGGCUGCAUCCGCGACCUGUUCAUCGAUGGGCGCAGCAAGAACAUCCGGCAGCUGGCGGAGAUGCAGAACGCAGCAGGCGUCAAGUCCUCCUGUUCACGCAUGAGCGCCAAGCAGUGUGACAGCUACCCCUGCAAGAACAACGCGGUGUGCAAGGACGGCUGGAACCGCUUCAUCUGCGACUGCACUGGCACCGGCUACUGGGGGAGAACCUGCGAAAGAGAGGCAUCUAUCCUGAGCUAUGACGGCAGCAUGUACAUGAAGGUCAUCAUGCCCAUGGUGAUGCACACGGAGGCAGAGGAUGUGUCCUUCCGCUUCAUGUCACAGCGAGCCUAUGGGCUACUGGUAGCCACAACCUCCAGGGAUUCUGCAGAUACACUGCGUCUAGAGUUGGAUGGUGGGCGUGUCAAGCUCAUGGUUAACUUAGACUGUAUCAGGAUAAACUGUAACUCCAGCAAAGGACCUGAGACCCUGUAUGCAGGGCAGAAGCUCAAUGACAAUGAGUGGCACACCGUCCGGGUAGUGCGGAGAGGAAAAAGCCUUAAGCUAACAGUGGAUGAUGAUGUGGCUGAGGGGACAAUGGUGGGCGACCACACCCGCCUGGAAUUCCACAAUAUUGAAACUGGUAUCAUGACUGAGAAGCGUUACAUCUCUGUGGUCCCCUCCAGUUUCAUUGGCCAUCUACAGAGCCUCAUGUUCAAUGGCUUACUGUACAUUGAUUUGUGCAAAAAUGGCGACAUCGACUACUGUGAACUGAAGGCUCGCUUUGGACUGAGAAACAUCAUCGCCGACCCUGUCACUUUUAAGACCAAGAGCAGCUACCUGACCCUCGCCACCCUACAGGCUUACACCUCCAUGCACCUCUUCUUCCAGUUCAAGACCACUUCAGCUGAUGGCUUCAUUCUCUUCAAUAGCGGAGAUGGCAAUGAUUUUAUUGCAGUUGAGCUGGUCAAGGGGUACAUACACUAUGUGUUUGAUCUCGGCAAUGGUCCCAAUGUGAUCAAAGGCAACAGUGACCGCCCCCUGAAUGACAACCAGUGGCACAACGUGGUCAUCACCAGGGACAGCAGUAACACCCACAGUCUGAAGGUGGACACCAAGGUAGUCACUCAGGUCAUCAAUGGUGCCAAAAAUCUGGAUUUGAAAGGUGACCUCUAUAUGGCUGGCUUAGCCCAGGGCAUGUACAGCAACCUUCCCAAGCUUGUGGCCUCCAGGGAUGGAUUUCAGGGCUGCCUGGCCUCUGUGGACUUGAAUGGACGCCUGCCUGAUCUCAUCAACGAUGCUCUCCACAGGAGUGGACAGAUCGAGCGAGGCUGUGAAGUUGCGUUGACCAAAGCUGACCUGCAAGGACCCAGUACAACCUGUCAGGAGGAUUCAUGCGCCAACCAGGGAGUUUGCAUGCAGCAGUGGGAAGGUUUCACCUGUGACUGCUCCAUGACAUCAUAUUCUGGAAACCAGUGCAAUGACCCUGGUGCAACAUACAUCUUUGGGAAAAGCGGUGGCCUCAUCCUCUAUACCUGGCCAGCAAAUGACAGACCCAGCACACGCUCUGACCGUCUCGCCGUGGGCUUCAGCACUACUGUGAAGGAUGGUAUCUUAGUACGCAUUGACAGCGCCCCUGGACUUGGCGACUUCCUCCAGCUUCACAUAGAACAAGGGAAAAUUGGAGUUGUCUUCAAUAUUGGCACAGUUGACAUCUCCAUCAAAGAAGAGAGAACUCCUGUCAAUGAUGGCAAAUACCACGUUGUGCGCUUCACCAGGAAUGGGGGAAAUGCUACACUUCAGGUGGACAACUGGCCAGUGAAUGAGCACUAUCCUACAGGCAACACUGAUAAUGAACGCCUCCAAAUGGUAAAACAGAAAAUCCCCUUCAAAUAUAACCGGCCCGUAGAGGAGUGGCUGCAGGAAAAAGGCCGGCAGCUAACCAUCUUCAACACCCAGGCGCAAAUAGCCAUCGGAGGAAAGGACAAAGGACGUCUCUUCCAAGGUCAACUCUCUGGGCUCUAUUAUGAUGGUUUGAAAGUACUGAACAUGGCAGCUGAGAACAACCCUAAUAUUAAAAUCAAUGGAAGUGUCCGGCUAGUGGGAGAAGUCCCAUCAGUCUCAGGAACAACACAGACAACGUCCAUGCCACCUGAAAUGUCUACCACCGUCAUGGAAACCACCACCACCAUGGCUACGACCACCACCCGAAAGAACCGCUCUACAGCCAGCAUUCAGCCCACGUCAGAUGAUCUUGUUUCAUCUGCUGAAUGUUCAAGUGAUGAUGAAGACUUUGUCGAAUGUGAACCAAGUACAGCCAGAAGCUCUAAUGCAGCUAGAUCACUCCGUGCCGCCCUUACAUGGACAUGGCGACUCACUUACACACUUACCCCUCUCAUCUUCAUCUCCUGUGUAGUACACUCAUAGACACACCCCUCCCCUUUCCACACCCCUCCUUUCCCAUACUCCCCCCUUCUUUAGCGUUGUUAAAAUUUAUGUGCUGUCAUCUAUUCCCCUAAAUUAAGGAAAAUCUAAAAUUUGUCAAAAAAAAAGAUAAUAAAAGUAUAAAUAUAUAUUGGAAAAUUACAAUGAAAAAAAAAAUCAUUCCAAACCCCAUAGAUGCAUAGAUUUUUUUAAAGGCAAAUUAUAUUUUUUUUCAUUUUCAGUCAUAGAAAGAAGAAUUAUUUUAAAUUUUAAAAAACCAAUGCCCUCCUAAGUCCCUUCAGAGUAAAAAUUGCUAAAGUGCAGAUUUUUUUCUUUUCAUGUUACGUGGUGUGAGUGUAUGUGUUGUUGCCUCCCCGUAUCAUCCUCUGUUGUAAAUUACUAUAUUUGAAAAAUUAGACAUUUUGCUCAAAAGUUUUUAAGAAAUAAUAACAACAACAACAACAACAACAAUAACAACAACAACAGAAAAAGCAAGUUUCAAGAAUGUGGCAAUUCUAUUUGUCCAAGAGCAUUCUUACACAACUUUCUUUUGUAAAUUUUUUCUUCCAUGCCAAAAAACAUGCGGGCAAUUUGUUGAUGAGGUGAAUUAGUUAUUCCUCUUCUGGUAGAAGACCCUUUAGCUACCCCUCCUAUUGCUACUCGUGUACCCUCCAUUACACUCCCCCCUACCUUCCGCCCCCUCCUCACCAUUAUUGAGACCACCAAAGAUUCCCUGUCCAUGACCUCUGAGGCGGGGUUACCUUGCUUGUCGGACCAAGGCAGCGAUGGUUGUGAUGAUGAUGGCUUGGUGAUAUCUGGGUAUGGCUCAGGGGAAACCUUUGACUCUAACCUGCCCCCUACUGAUGAUGAAGAUUUUUACACCACCUUCUCCUUGGUAACAGAUAAGAGUCUUUCCACUUCAAUCUUCGAAGGUGGCUACAAAGCACAUGCGCCCAAGUGGGAAUCCAAGGACUUUAGACCUAACAAAGUCUCGGAAACUAGUAGAACUACAACCACCUCUUUGUCCCCUGAGCUGAUCCGCUUCACAGCGUCCUCCUCGUCUGGGAUGGUGCCCAAAUUGCCAGCUGGCAAAAUGAAUAACCGUGAUCUCAAACCCCAGCCUGAUAUAGUCUUGCUUCCGUUGCCCACUGCCUAUGAGCUAGACAGCACCAAACUGAAGAGCCCACUAAUUACUUCCCCCAUGUUCCGUAAUGUGCCCACAGCAAACCCCACGGAGCCAGGAAUCAGACGGGUUCCGGGGGCCUCAGAGGUGAUCCGGGAGUCCAGCAGUACAACAGGGAUGGUCGUCGGCAUUGUGGCUGCUGCCGCCCUCUGCAUCUUGAUCCUCCUGUACGCCAUGUACAAGUACAGGAACAGGGACGAGGGGUCCUAUCAAGUGGACGAGACGAGGAACUACAUCAGCAACUCGGCCCAGAGCAACGGCACGCUCAUGAAGGAGAAGCAAGCCAGCUCCAAGAGCGGCCAUAAGAAACAGAAAAACAAGGACAAGGAGUAUUAUGUGUAAACAUAACACCACCAGUCGUAUGCGAACUUAAAACAGAAUUAUUUCUAUACACACACCUGAAUACUUUGACAAUGAGAUUUAACUUGUUGAAUGUGUUCUGUGAGAUGGGGUGUACCACGACUAUGGUGGGAAAAACCAUUUUUUAAAGGACACAUACGAUGGUGUAUCUCUCUGUGUAAUGGUGAGCCAUGCUGCAAGGUUGUAGCCUUGGCCCGAAGACAGAAAAUUCUCUCUGCCCUGCUGUAUCAUAAAGCACACACUUAGUGCCCUGGAGCAAGUCCAUGACUCCACAUGACCUUGGAAGCUUUCUUCUCUCCAGAACAUUUGGAAAGGGGUAGAAGACCAUAUGGCUUACUUGUUCCAUAGCUCCAAGUGAGUCUGUAAUAAUGUUUGUGAAUCUUGACUGUAACAAUGUUGGGUUAUUUUUUGUUUGUUUGUUUGUUUAAUUAUGUAAAAAAAAACAAAAACAAAAAAAUAAGAAAAGAAAAACGCUUAAAAAAAAAAAACACAAACAAAACAAAACAAGAAACCCAGAAAUACCCUUAUCUGGUUCUGACCAGUGUGUGUGUAACUUUCCAAGAUCUGAGGGGAAAAUAGCUUUUGGGUUUUCAUUUAUUUUUUUGACAAAGACUGCACAUAAGAAGAAAAGGAAAAAAAUAUACUCAGAAAAAAAGUAUGAGACUCUUGCCAUAUGAACUCAAAAUCUACCAUGGCAUUCACUCCAUGUAGCAGGUUGUGGUGUCUCUAGAACCAAUUGUUAGUUUCCUAAUGCUUUGGUGAACCCAUGUGGGAUGACAAGCCGUUUGAAAAGCAGGUCCCCAGAUCUAAUUCCAAUAUUUGCCAUUCAAACCUGUAACAGAUGGGUUUGGGGCUGGUGUUAUCGGAGCUAUUGGUUUCACUUAACAAAUACUGUCCCUGUCCAUCAACCCAAAGUGUGUGAACGGGGAAAUGUAACCCCCAAGAAUUAAAGCAGAGCCUUUCUAAGGGAAGGAAAAAAGGGAAAGGGGGUGGACUGGAUCUGUGAAAUGCAUGCAAACAAAGAAAAAAAAAAACCCACAAAAAAGAAAAGACAAUGUUAGCAUCUGUUUCAACAGACUGCAAGGGAGUUCCUAACUUGUAACACAACCACAAGUGGUCACACAAGCCUAGUCAUGGCCAAGUGUGAAAAAUCAUAGUUACUUCCCCACCCCCAACAUAAUAACGGUUUCCAUAUGGUUUAACUUUGUAGCCUGAUGUGAGUAAAUCCUUCCCAUCUCCUCAUGUCUCCUUCCGCCCAUCUUUUUUUUUUAAAGACAAAUAAAUAAAUGAGUAAAGCUGCUGUGACACACACACAAAAGGAAUUUAAUAGUAUAAUAUAUAUAAAUAAAUAUAUAUACAGAUAUAUUUAUCAUGGUAUGUUUGAUGGGAUGACUGACACAGAAAUCUGUUAAAGUCUUGAAGUGGAAUGAGAAUGUUAUUUUAAAAGAAAAAUAACAAAACAACAAAAAAGUAAACCUUAAAAUGUGAAGAAAGUGUGAGUUUUCGUUUUGUCACAGUUAACUGUGUCAAAGAGAAUUUAAACAACAAACAACAGAAACUUCUCAGAUUUUGUUUACAUAUUUUACUACAUUUUUGCUGGUAUAAUCCCUUAGUCGUGUAUGUACCUACCGCUUUGAGAACUGUUAUUUCCUUUCUGUCUGUUUAUUUGGUUUGUGUCCCAUUCUCUUUCUGUCUUCUUUUUGUAAAGAGGAAACAAUGUACAGAGUAAUUAAAAAAAAAAAAACAAACAAACAAACUGGUUUCAUGGCCAUAGCCAUUCAAAAAGCAAGAAGAUAAAGCAAGACACAUACUCUCACAGAGGGCAAUGUGUCAUCUGGAGGGGCAGGCAUAUACAAUUUCUUUUGUACAGAUGAAAACCAAUCAGCUGUUUAGAUUUAGAAAUCUACUCUUGCUGGUCUUUGUAAGUUGCAUGAAUAUUUGACUUUGAAAAAACAAUAUCUUACAGACAUGGGGCAGAAGGCACAGUCUAAAACAGUGGUAGCCUUUACUGAUGUGUAUGGAGAGCGGUGUUCCUCCUUAUCUGAGAUUUCAAUGUUUUAAGAGUUUUCCUUUUUUUUGUUGUUGUUGUCAUUAAAAAAGACAGGACUGUACAAGGAUAUCUAAGCACGAUUUUAGAUAAAUGGCCCAGCCUAUAUGAAGUUGAUUAUAUCUCGAUGUCUGUGACAGAUUGCUGUUCUUGGAGUCGUGAGAUCUUGUGAACUGAUAUUCUCCUUUCUUUCUUUCCACUUUUUUUUAAAAAUCGGAGUAAAUACUCAUUUGUUAUAUUCCUUUUAGUGUAAGUUAAUAUUUGGACAGUUUUACGGGAACUUGUGCAUUCUGUACGAGAGCUUUCAUUGGAUUCCUGUUGUGUUCUUUGCAGACCCUGAAAGAGAUUUUUUUUCAUAAUGUUGCGAUGUUCCUGCUUUUUUCUUUUUCCUUUUCUCUUUGCUUUCCCAUUUGCUUUUUCGUUCAUGGAUAUGCUUAGCAAUAAAAUGUUCUUCCCAAAA